rnacentral:rRNA from 1 species
CUACGGGGUGCUGCAGUGGGGAAUAUUGGACAAUGGGCGCAAGCCUGAUCCAGCCAUGCCGCGUGAGUGAAGAAGGCCUUAGGGUCGUAAAGCUCUUUCGCCAGAGAUGAUAAUGACAGUAUCUGGUAAAGAAACCCCGGCUAACUCCGUGCCAGCAGCCGCGGUAAUACGGAGGGGGUUAGCGUUGUUCGGAAUUACUGGGCGUAAAGCGCGCGUAGGCGGAUUAGUCAGUCAGAGGUGAAAUCCCAGGGCUCAACCCUGGAACUGCCUUUGAUACUGCUAGUCUUGAGUUCGAGAGAGGUGAGUGGAAUUCCGAGUGUAGAGGUGAAAUUCGUAGAUAUUCGGAGGAACACCAGUGGCGAAGGCGGCUCACUGGCUCGAUACUGACGCUGAGGUGCGAAAGUGUGGGGAGCAAACAGGAUUAGAUACCCGAGUAGUC